UACAAAGGGGUCUAGCGUUGUUCGGAAUCACUGGGCGUAAAGCGCACGUAGGCGGAUGUGUCAGUCAGGGGUGAAAUCCCGGGGCUCAACCUCGGAACUGCCUUUGAUACAGCACGUCUCGAGUCCGGAAGAGGUGGGUGGAAUUCCUAGUGUAGAGGUGAAAUUCGUAGAUAUUAGGAAGAACACCGGUGGCGAAGGCGGCCCACUGGUCCGGUACUGACGCUGAGGUGCGAAAGCGUGGGGAGCAAACAGG
rnacentral:rRNA from 1 species